GGUUGUCCGAGUGCAGUGGUGUUUACAACUAAUUGAUCACAACCAGUUAUAGAUUCCUUUGUUCCUUCUCCACUCACACUGCUCCACUUGACCAGCCUAAA
rnacentral:Y_RNA from 1 species